UUAGCCAACCAAUCCUCUUAUAACAUCCCACCUGAUUGUAAAGAUCCAGCCCAACAUGGCGAAUGCCAUGUUCAAUUUAUACGUAAAGCUCAGUGUUCAUUCAGCUGGGAUUGGGGACCAUCAUUUCCUGUUCAAGGUAUCUGGCAGAGAAUUUAUAUACAGGCUUUUGAUACAACUGUUAUAAGGGAAUUUUCUGGCUUAACAAAACUAGCUAGUGAUAAUACAUGGAGUGUAGAUGUUGAAGUACAUUUUGAUGUAAGAACUGGAAGUACAACAGGAAAACUAGAAACACAACUUGUAGGAACACCUGUUUCUUUUACACAACUGAUUACAUUAAACUCUGCU